AUUGACCGCUGGCGGCAGGCCUAACACAUGCAAGUCGAACGAGUGGCGGACGGGUGAGUAAUGUCUGGGAAACUGCCUGAUGGAGGGGGAUCACUACUGGAAACGGUAGCUAAUAACGCAUACCAUCGGAGGUGCCCAGAUGGGAUUAGCUAGUAGGUGGGGUAAAGGCUCACCUAGGAGACGAUCCCUAUCUGGUCUGAGAGGAUGACCAGCCACACUGGAACUGAGACACGGUCCAUACUCCGACGGUAGGCAGCAGUGGGUAUUAUUGCACAAUGGGCGCAAGCCUGAUGCAGCCAUGCCGCGUGUAUGAAGAAGGCCUUCGGGUUGUAAAGUACUUUCAGCGGGGAGGCGUUACCCGCAGAAGAAGCACCGGCUAACUCCGUGCCAGCCGCCGCGGUAAUAC
rnacentral:rRNA from 1 species